AUUCGGAUAUGCAUUUCAUUCAUCCAUGCGUCCGCCUGCCUGCCUGCGCUUCCAUCCAUCCAUCCAUCCGUCCGUCCAUCCAUCCAUCCAUCCAUCCAUGCAUCCUAUUUCCAGCGAGACGUCAGAGAACUCACAGUCUUCUUGGGGAAGAGGUCAUAAACUUGGGCCUGGGUGGUUGCCCUAUCCAACUGAGGUCGCCUUUGCGAUCCCUGCUGCAAAUAGGCAGUGACUAGUCCAGGAGUGCAGCUGGGAGGAACUGCUCGCCGGAUAGAAGGGAAGAAAGGAGAUUCUAGGCAGAGGCUGGAAUGCAAUGAUGCGAUCUCGGCUCACUGCAACCUCCACCUCUCGGCUUCAAGCAAUUCUCCUGCCUCAGCCUCCCGGGUAGCUGGUACUACAGGCUCCUGCCACCACGCCCAGCAAUUUUUGUAUUUUUAGUAGCGACAGGGUUGUACCAUGUUGGCCAUCCUGACCUCAGGUGAUCUGCCUGCCUUGGCCUCCCAAAGUGCUGGGAUUACAGGCAUGAGCCACUGUGUUCAGUUGGCCAUACUGAUAGACUCCAGGCUUUGGGAAACUGAUGGCAUUUGGGGAUUUCCCCAGCAUGUCCUGUGAUGCUCUUGAUUCCUUGUGUCUCCAGUCAUGACAGAGAGAAGGCAUUCCUGGCUUGUUGGUCCACAUUUAUGAUUUGUUGAUGUUGUUGUUGAGAUGGAGUCUCACCUUGUCGCCCAGGCUGGAGUACAGUGGCGUGAUCUUGGCAACCUCCAUCUCUUGGGUUCAAGUGAUUCCUCUGCCUCAGCCUCCCAAGUAGCUGGGAUUAAAGGGGCGUGCCAGCAUGCCUGGCUAAUUUUCAUAUUUUUAGUAGAGAUGGGGUUUCACCAUGUUGGCCAGGCUGGUCUCGAACUCCUGACCUCAGGUGAUCCACCAGCCUUGGCCUCCCAAAGUGCUGGGAUUACAGGCGUGAGCCACUGUGCCUGGCCUGUGAUUUUUUUAUUUUUUCAGAAGGGGUCUCGCUCUAUUGCCCAGGUUGGUUCUGAACUCCUGGGCUCAAGAGAUCCUCCCGCCUCAGCAUCCUGAGUAGCUGGGACUACAAGUGUGAGCCACUGUGCCAGGCACAAUGGUCUUUUGUAGUGGAGAACCUCCUCCCUGGGACCACUGGAAGACACAGGCCAAGUUAUUGCUGAUAGGAAAACCAAGAGGUCCAACAGAACCCAAGAUGGAUCGGAUGGAAGAUGGCACAGGUGCCCGGGACGUGCAGCACUGGAGUGGGUGAUGGAUCCUGGAAUCUCUCCAUCCCUUUUUGGAGUGUACAUUCUGCAGUGAGAAACAGUGCCCCAGCACAAGUACUGAUGAGCUCUCCACUGCCGAAAUACAACUCUGUGACCAUGGCCAGCAGGAAGCCACUGAUGAGGGGAAACACAGUGUGACGGUGCCCAGGGAAAGAACCUGCUUCUUUGUGACAUCACGGAGCUGCUGAGCCGCUUGAACUUGGAGCCACUUUGAGUUGGGAAUUCUGGCUUUUUUGCAGCUGAAAGUGUGCCAACCCCGUACAAGAAGAACAGCUGCAGGUCUGCAUGUGGCGGCUCGCGCCAACACUUUGGGAGGCUGAGACAGGAGCAUCUGCUUGAGCCCAGGAGUUCGAUACCAGCCUGGGCAACAUAGUGGGAUCCUGUCUCUACAAAAAAUAAAAGUGAUGAGAAGAAUAGCCCUAAAAUCAUGAGAGUGGUUGCCCCUCGGGACGGCACCAAGGAAAUAGGACUGGUGCGGGGAGUAUAAUAGGAAUUCAUCUUUAUCUGUUAUCCUUUGUCUUUUUAUUUUGAGACGGAGUCUCAUUCUGUCACCCAGGCCGGAGUGCAGUGGUGUAAUCUCGGCUCACUGCAAUCUCUGCCUCCUGGGUUCAAGUGAUUCUCCUGCCUCAGCCUCCCGAGUAGCUGGGAUUACAGGCGCACGCCACCGUGCCUGGCUAAUUUUUUGUGUUUUUAGUAGAGACGAGGUUUCACCAUGCUGGCCAAGCUGGUCUUGAACUCCUGACUUCAUGAUCUGCCUGCCUUGGCCUCCCAAAGUGCUGGGAUCACAGGCGUGAGCUACCAAGCCCGGCCCUAUCUUUUUUAAAAUUAAAAAUAUCUGACACACGAGCCAGGUGCUGUGGCUCACACCUGUAAUCCCAGCACUUUGGGAGACUGAGGAGGGAGAAUCACUUGAGGCCAGGAAUUCCAGAUCAGCAUGGGCAACAUGGUAAGACCUCCGCCUCUACGACAAAUAGCCAGAUGUGGUGGCACACACCUGUAGUUCCAGCUACUCAGUAGGCUGAGGCAGAAGGAUUGCUGGGGCCCACAAAGUCAAGGCUGCAGUGAGCUGUGAUCAUGGCACUGCACUCCAGCCUGGGCAACAGAGUGAGACCCUAUCUCAGAAAAGAAAAACUCUGACAUAAAUGUGAUAAAAUGUUGACACUGUUUCUAUUAUAGCUGUAGGUGUGUGCACAGUUUACAGUUUUGUGUAAAUUCUUUCACUGUUUCCAAAAUAAGUAAAAACUAUUCCAUGGAA